AGGAGGAACAACCUCAGUGGCGGGGCCAGCUCUGGAGCCCUGGAUUCAGCUCCCGCAGUAACUACGGAGCUCUCCGUCCAAAGGGGCCUGGAGGCUCCGGGGCGGG
rnacentral:pre_miRNA from 1 species